AUUGAACGCUGGCGGCAGGCUUAACACAUGCAAGUCGAGCGGGGAGAUGUAGCUUGCUACAUUUCCUAGCGGCGGACGGGUGAGUAAUGCUUAGGAAUCUGCCUAUUAGUGGGGGACAACAUUCCGAAAGGAAUGCUAAUACCGCAUACGCCCUACGGGGGAAAGCAGGGGAUCUUCGGACCUUGCGCUAAUAGAUGAGCCUAAGUCAGAUUAGCGAGUUGGUGGGGUAAAGGCCUACCAAGGCGACGAUCUGUAGCGGGUCUGAGAGGAUGAUCCGCCACACUGGGACUGAGACACGGCCCAGACUCCUACGGGAGGCAGCAGUGGGGAAUAUUGGACAAUGGGCGAAAGCCUGAUCCAGCUAUGCCGCGUGUGUGAAGAAGGCCUUUUGGUUGUAAAGCACUUUAAGCGAGGAGGAGGCUACUUGGAUUAAUACUCUAGGAUAGUGGACGUUACUCGCAGAAUAAGCACCGGCUAACUCUGUGCCAGCCGCCGCCGUAA
rnacentral:rRNA from 1 species